rnacentral:rRNA from 1 species
AACGAACGCUGGCGGCAGGCUUAACACAUGCAAGUCGAACGCUCGUAGCAAUACGGGAGUGGCGGACGGGUGAGUAACGCGUGGGAACGUGCCCUGAGGUACGGAAUAACUGCGGGAAACUGCAGCUAAUACCGUAUGAGCCCCGUGAGGGGGAAAGAUUUAUCGCCUUAGGAGCGGCCCGCGUCGGAUUAGCUAGUUGGUGGGGUAACGGCUUACCAAGGCUUCGAUCCGUAGCUGGUCUGAGAGGACGAUCAGCCACACUGGGACUGAGACACGGCCCAGACUCCUACGGGAGGCAGCAGUGGGGAAUCUUGCGCAAUGGGGGCAACCCUGACGCAGCCAUGCCGCGUGAAUGAUGAAGGCCUUAGGGUUGUAAAGUUCUUUUGCCCGUGACGAUGAUGACGGUAACGGGAGAAUAAGCUCCGGCUAACUUCGUGCCAGCAGCCGCGGUAAAAUCAACGUGUA